GGUCUUAUGGUCUAGUGGUAUGAUUCUCGCUUAGGGUGCGAGAGGUCCCGCGUUCGAGUCGCGGUAAGACCC
rnacentral:tRNA from 4 species